ACUCUUUCGUUGAGUGGGAAGGAAAGUGAUUUUUUUUUUUUUUUUAAUUUUUUAUAUGAGGCGGGGCAAUGAGAGCACCGACGAACACGCAAAUUCGAAAAAGGGAGGGAAGACGAAGACCUUAAGCAAGUGUAGUGUAGUUAGCCAUGGCGAAUCUCUCCACUCUGGUUCACGAGCUUCGAGAACGUAUAGCAGCUUCCUCAUCCACUCCUAAUCGUGCCGAUGACUUCGGUCUCGAAGUCCGAUUUCGCGCAUUCCUUCCCAAUCUUCUUCACGAUCACGUCGUUCCAUCUUCCUCAGUAAAUGAGAGAGAAGUAGUUGCUGUGUUGAAGCUCAUCUCGAUCACUGCCAGGAACUUUCCUGGCGUCUUUUACCAUGGAAAGGCUAGCGCCGUUUUGCCUGUGAUUGCCCGGAUACUGCCUUUUUUUGCGGAGACCACUAUCCAGGCACAACAUGGAGUCAUUUUUGAAACCGUUGGUUCCCUUUUAUCCUUGCUUCGUACUGGAGCACGGGAUGCAUACCGUCAGUUUUUUCUCGAUGCCAUGUCAGUUGUUGAAGAUAUUUUAUACACUGCAUCACUUGGCACUGAUACUUCAAGCUUUGUGGAGUCCACAAGUAUCAAUUUGAAUUGUUUCUGUGAAUCUUUAAAGGGAAUCUUUGAGGAUCCCGAUCAUCUUGUGGAUCUUCCAGAAGUCAACAGACCAACUAAUGGCUCUGGUAUUUUGAUAAAUCUAACGGGGAAAAAGAGGUGGCGGCCUUUUGCGACUUGGAUUAUUAAGCUUCUUGGUAGAUGCUUGGCUGAGGGAACUGUGUACGUUGAAGGACUUAUCAGUAUGUCAGAUGUUUCAGCAGCAUGUUCAUUAUUAUGUUAUGGGGAUGCUGAUCUGCAAAUGGCAUGUUUUGACUUUGCACGUAUUGUUGGAUUGGUGAUAGAUGACAUCGUUCCUUAUCAGCCUUUAAUCCAGUCAAUAUCUACUAUAUUAAGUGAAGACAAACAGGGGCUUCCUGUAUUUAGGAACAUACCAUAUGAUACUUCUAUUGGAGGUUGUCUUAAUGUUCUAUACUCCAAUUGUUGCGACGAUGUUGUCAAGCUAACUGCUGCAGACAUGGUUGGCAUAUUUUCACAGUCCUUGUGGAGAACCAAGAGCAUGGAGCUCAAGGUUUCCUUAUGCAAUGCAUACAUGCGGAUUGCUAAAAUAUGUCCUUCUCAUAUCUGGAGGCCUGAAAUACUCGUUGAUAUGCUUUCUUUUCCAGAACCUUGCUUUGCUUUGAUAGAUUGCUUCAAAGCAGUUCUAUCUAUUCUUGGUCCUGAUUAUGUUGGAGGGUCUUUACCAGGCAUGGGUUCGUCAGAAUUGAGCAAUAAAUCAAUCGAAACCUCUAGAAUUGGAGAAAAGAGACCCUUUGAGGAUCUGGAUAUUGUGAAGAAAAAAAGACCAAAGAUGGAUGGAGAAAUUGUGAGCUCCGAAGCUGAUAUUAUGGUUGAAUGCAAGAAGCCUCACGUUAAAAUUUGUGAAACUGAAGAAACUUAUGCAAAUAAUUUGCAUAAUUUACUUGUUUCAUUUGUUGGAUGUUUAAAAGCUUCUUCCAUCAGGGCUGAUGCUCUAAGACCAGAAGUCUCACUAACAGCUCUUAGCAUGCUGUGUAUUGCUUUCUGUCGGUACCCUGAAACUCGUUUGUCCAUGGUCAUAUUUCAGGAGAUGAUUUCAUGGAUUCCCUGGAUAUAUGAGCAGGCGAAGAAAGGAAGCUCAAUUUCCAUUGACAUCUCCAUUUUUCUUGAAGGAAUCCACAACAUACUUCUCUUACCAAACCAUAUAUCUUCAUGUUUAUUUUCACUCUUGUCUGGAAGUAAUGGUGAAUGUGCUGAAACGAUGUCUGUGAUACUUAAAGUUCCAUGGACCCAUUCAAUCACCAGUACUGAAUCUCACAAGCCAUGGAAGACAAGAUGCAUCUCUGUUCAGGUUUCGUCAAAAAUUACUUCUAUCACGAAGGAUGAAACUGAUCUUGAGGUCCUAGAUUUGAGUCUUGUUGAUGAAGAUGAUGAAGUUAGAACUGAGGCUGCCAUUUCAAUUCCAGUGAUUGCUCUAUGGACUGGUUUUGACAGGCUAACACCGUUAUUUAGGAGACUGGAGAUCUUGAAGGAAGAAAUGCAUGAAAAAGUUAAGAAGAUUAUCCCAGUUUCUCUUGGGUUUUUAUCAUGCCUGUAUGGAUCUUGCCAUUCAGUGAGUAGGUGCAAAUUAUUUUUAAAUACCAACAGUGAUAGAUGUUGCCAGACAGUUGACUAUGUGCUACAAGGAUUUUGGUGUUCAAAGUGUGAUCAGACUGUUGUGCAUGAUCAUGAACUUUAUACAAAUAUAAUUGAGCAAUCAGACUGUUACCCAAAAAUGAAUUUGGAUAGUGAUUUUGUCCAUUUAGUGUCGAUGUUUUUCAAACUUCUUUUUGAUGAGUCUUCAGAAGAGGUUCAAUUGUCCUGUGUGGGAACUCUUAGACGAAUUCUGGUCCAUGGGAGAAGGGGUGUUCUACAUCAAAUGAAGACCAAUUGGCUUAAAUGUGUCGAGUUUUUGCUUCUGAACAGAAAAAAGUCAAUUAGAGAAGCAUUCUGCCUUCAAAUUAGUUCCUUCCUAGAGGAUCACAUCACGAGUUGCUUUUUCUCGGAAGAAGAUAUUUCAAACAAAAGGAAAGAGGUAAUGUUUUUGGAUUUUAUUAAAAAUGCAAUGGUAUCAACUGCAGAUCCCCAAAUUCUGGACACUAUACUAGAAUCUGUAGCAGAGCUCAUGAAUGCAGUUGAUAUUCACAGUGACUUUUUCUCCCUUUCUCUUUUAUUGUUGGUUGAUCAUCUUGAUAAUCCACACAUUACAGUGAGGUUGAGUGCUUCAAGGGCUAUCCACAGAGCUUGUUGUUUCCAUUUUAAUGGGAAUUUUGAUAUGAUAUUUUCAAAAGUUAUCCAUCUACGUAAUGAGCUAUUUGAUCACGUCUCUAGCAGACUUGUUAACCAUCCAAAAAUUGUACAAGAAUUUGCAGAAGCUGUUUUGGGUGUUGAAACUGAAGUAUUUGUUAAGAAAAUGAUUCCUGUUGUUCUUCCAAAGCUGAUUGUCUCUCAUCAGAACAACGAUCAAGCUGUUGAAUCUUUAUAUGAAUUAGCUAAGUGUGUGGACACAGAUAUGGUUACGUUAAUAGUAAAUUGGUUGCCGAAAGUUCUUGCCUUUGUUCUCUACCAAGCAAAUGGGAAGGAGUUAUGUUCUGCCUUGGAAUUUUAUCAUGCUCAGACGGGUUCAACUCAGGAAGAAAUUUUUGCUGCUGCAUUACCUGCACUUCUUGAUGAACUAGUAUGCUUUGUGGAUGGUGGCAAUUCAGAUGAGGUCAGUAAAAGGUUAGCAAGAGUUCCCGAGAUGAUAUUACAAGUUGCUAGAGUUCUUACUGGAGGGGAUGAUCUUCCAGGAUUUUUGAGGAAUCAUUUUGUUGGCCUCCUUAACAGCUUGGAUAGGAAAAUGCUGCAUGCAGAGGAUGUUUGCCUGCAGAAACAAGCCCUGCAACGAAUUGAAAUGCUGAUAAAAUUGAUGGGUUCUCAUCUUAGUACUUAUGUGCCAAAACUAAUGGUUCUUCUUAUGCAUGCUAUUGGGAAAGAAGAACUGCAAAGUGAAGGUCUCAUUGUUUUGAAUUCUUUUAUCCAACAAUUGGCUAUGGUAUCACCAUCUAGCAUCAAGUAUGUGAUUUCUCAAGUCUUUGCUGCACUUGUGCCUUUCCUGGAGAGAGAUGAAACUUCCACACAUUUAGAUAUGGUGGUAAAAAUUUUGGAAGAGCUUGUUUUGAAAAACAAGAGUAUACUAAAGGUGCACAUACGUGAAUUCCCUCCACUGCCUUGUAUUUCAGCUCUGACAGAGGUGAACAGAGCUAUAAAUGAAACUCGUGGAUCAAUGACUCUAAAGGAUCAACUACGAAAUGUUGUAGAUGGCUUAAAUCAUGAGAACUUAAAAGUGAGAUACAUGGUGGCAUGUGAAUUGAGAAAAUUGUUGAACAUGAGAAGCAAGGAGGUUACAACUCUGAUAAGUGCUGAAGCUGACCUAGACAUGGAUGUUCUGAGCUUACUAAUCUCAUCCUUGCUAAGAGGGUGCGCUGAGGAGUCAAGGACUGCAGUGGGCCAACGGCUGAAAUUGAUUUGCGCUGAUUGUAUUGGAGCACUAGGUGCUGUUGAUCCUGCUAAAGUGAAGAGCUUUUCUUGCGAACGAUUUAAAAUUGAAUGUUCUGACGAUGAUCUAAUUUUUGAGUUGAUUCACAAACACUUAGCUCGGGCUUUUGGAGCUGCACCAGAUACCAUUAUUCAAGAUUCAGCGGCAUUAGCCAUUCAAGAGCUUCUAAAAAUUGCAGGGUGUAAGGCAUCGUUGGAUGACAAUACUGCUCCUUCAGCUUCACCAUCGUUGAAAGAUAAAGAAACUUCAAAAACUGUGACAUCUGAUUCUUCUGAUGAUGGUCAUGCUAUGAGUAUAAGAGGUCAGAGAUUGUGGGGACGUUUCUCUGAUUAUGUGAAAGAAAUUAUAGCACCAUGCUUAACCUCAAGAUUUCAACUCCCAAAUGUGGUUGACUCUGCAUUUGCUAGUUCAAUUUAUCGACCAGGCAUGUCAUUCAGAAGGUGGAUAUAUUUUUGGAUAAAAAAACUAACUGCACAUGCAACUGGGUCUCGUGCAGGUAUCUUUCAUGCUUGUCGUGGUAUAGUGCGGCAUGAUAUGCAGACGGCUGUUUAUUUGCUGCCUUAUUUAGUUCUUAGUGCUGUCUGUCAUGGUACAGAGGAAGCACGACAUGGCAUAACAGAAGAAAUCUUGUCUGUUCUCAAUGCUGCAGCUGCAGAGAAUGGUGUGGCUUUGAUUCACGGAAAUACUGGGGGGCAAAGUGAUGUUUGCAUUCAAGCUGUAUUUACUCUUCUUGAUAAUCUAGGACAGUGGGUGGAUGAUGUUGAACGAGGAUUGUCACUUUCGCAAUCUGGUCAGUCAUCGUCUUCUAAGCAUUUGGUGGCCAAAUCAAGGGAAUCAAGUUCAAUUGUUCAUGUUGAUCAGGAGCAACUCCUGGUUCAGUGUAGAUAUGUUUCACAGCUUUUAGAUGCAAUUCCAAAGACUACUCUUGCUAGGGCUUCCUUGAGCUGUCAGGCCUAUGCUAGAUCUUUGAUGUAUUUUGAGUCGUAUGUACGAGGAAAAUCUGGUUCUUUUAACCCCGCGGCUGAGAGGAGUGGCAUCUUUGAGGAUGAAGAUAUUUCAUAUCUCAUGGAAAUAUAUAGUUGUCUUGAUGAGCCUGAUGGUCUAUCUGGCUUGGCAUGUUUACGUAAAUCCUUGAGGUUACAAGACCAACUUUUGAUAAAUAAAAAAGCUGGAAAUUGGGCAGAAGUUUUGACUUUUUGUGAACAGGCCUUGCAUAUGGAACCAGAUUCAGUUCAAAGGCAUUCGGAUGUUCUUAAUUGUUUGUUAAAUAUGUGCCAUCUCCAAGCUAUGGUUACUCAUGUGGAUGGUUUAAUCACGAGGAUUCCUCAGUACAAGAAAACGUGGUGCAUGCAAGGAGUGCAGGCAGCUUGGAGGCUUGGCAGGUGGGACCUGAUGGACGAAUACCUCAAGGGAGCUGAUGAGGAAGGUCUUCUUUGUAGCAGCUCUGAGAGUAAUGCUUCUUUUGACAUGGACGUAGCAAAAAUUCUGCAGGCAAUGAUGAAGAAGAAUCAGUUUUCAGUUUCUGAGAAAAUUGCUCUAUCCAAACAGUCUCUGAUUGCCCCUCUUGCUGCUGCUGGCAUGGAUUCUUACGCACGUGCUUAUCCAUUUGUUGUGAAACUCCACCUUCUGAAAGAGCUUGAGGACUUCCAUAACCUUCUCUUUAAUGACUCUUUCUUGGAAAAAUCAUUUCAUGUAGAUGAUCAAGAAUUUUCAGAAAUGAUACAAAAUUGGGAGAACCGGCUGAAAUUUACUCAGUCAUCACUCUGGGCAAGAGAGCCACUCCUGUCAUUUCGGAGAUUGGUUUUUGGUGCUAGUAGUCUUGGUGCUCAAGUUGGGAACUGCUGGCUUCAGUAUGCAAAGCUCUGUCGCUCUGCUGGUCAUUAUGAAACAGCAAAGCGUGCAAUUCUUGAAGCUCAGGCCUCUCGUGCACCUAAUGUCCAUAUGGAGAAAGCAAAACUUCUAUGGAGUACUAGGCGGUCUGACGGUGCUAUCUCAGAAUUGCAACAAUCUCUUCUAAAUAUGCCUGUGGAAGUUAUAGGAUCUGCUGCAAUGUCAUCAAUAACAAGCCUUUCCUUGGUUCCAAUGAAUCCAGCUCCUUUAAUCUGUGAUACUCAAACUUUGAAUGAGAAUAGAGAUAUUGCAAAGACUCUUCUCCUAUACUCAAGGUGGAUACAUUGCACUGGGCAAAAGCAAAAGGAAGAUGUCAUCAAUCUUUAUUCAAGAGUGAAGGAGUUACAGCCCAAGUGGGAGAAAGGAUAUUUUUUUAUGGCCAGGUACUGUGAUGAAUUGCUUGAAGAUGCCAGGAAGCGCCAGGAAGAUAGUUUAGAACAAGGUCCGAGAAAAGUCUCAUCAUCUUCUACCGCUAUUGGCCCUUCAAAUUUAAAUAAUGAGAAGCCCUGGUGGUCUUAUGUGCCUGAUGUACUCCUGUUCUAUGCGAAAGGACUUCACAGGGGUCACAAGAAUCUAUUUCAAGCACUUCCAAGGUUGUUAACUUUGUGGUUUGACUUUGGAAGCAUCUACCAAAGAGUUGGUUCAUCAUCCAACAAAGAGUUGAAAAGUGUUCAUGGAAAGGUUCUGAGCAUCAUGCGGGGUUGUUUAAAGGAUUUGCCAGCAUAUCAAUGGUUGGCUGUACUGCCUCAGUUAGUUUCAAGGAUUUGUCAUCAGAAUGAAGAAACUGUUCGAUUGGUCAAAUACAUAAUUGCUUCUGUUGUCCGACAGUAUCCACAGCAAGCGCUUUGGAUAAUGGCUGCAGUUUCAAAAUCCACUGUUCCUUCAAGACGAGAGGCAGCUAUGGAGAUAAUCCAUUCUGCAAAAAAAGAUUUCAGUCAAGGAAACGGUGGCAACAAUUUAUUUCUUCAGUUUGCCAGUCUAAUCGAUCAUUUAAUUAAGUUGUGCUUCCAUCCAGGUCAACAAAGAGCGAGGAACAUUAAUAUUUCUAUGGAAUUUAGCACAUUGAAGAGAAUGAUGCCAUUGGAGAUUAUUAUGCCAAUUCAACAAUCUCUGGUUGUUAAUCUGCCGACAUAUGAUGCGAAUCUCACUGAUUCACCAAGUUCUGACAUCUUUUCUGGCACAGAGCUUCCUACAAUAUCAGGAAUAGCUGAUGAGGCUGAGAUUCUUUCAUCACUUCAGCGGCCCAAGAAAAUUAUUCUAUUGGGUAGUGAUGGUAUUGAGAGACCAUUCCUCUGCAAACCCAAGGAUGAUCUCCGGAAGGAUGCUCGCAUGAUGGAGUUCACAGCAAUGAUUAACCGUUUAUUAUCCAAAUAUUCAGAAAGCCGCCGAAGGAAGCUCUACAUACGCACUUUUGCUGUGAUACCUCUGACAGAGGAUUGUGGUAUGGUAGAAUGGGUUCCCCAUACUCGUGGUCUAAGACAUAUACUGCAAGACAUAUAUAUUACUUGCGGUAAGUUUGACAGGCAGAAGACAAAUCCCCAAGUUAAGCGAAUAUAUGAUCAGUGCCAAGGUAAAAUACCUGAAAGUGAGAUGCUGAAGACAAAAAUUCUUCCUCUGUUCCCUCCCGUUUUCCAUAGAUGGUUUUUGAAUACCUUUUCAGAACCAGCCGCUUGGUUUAGAGCCCGUAUAGCUUAUGCACAUACAACUGCAGUUUGGUCUAUGGUUGGGCAUAUUGUGGGGUUAGGUGAUAGACAUGGUGAAAAUAUUCUUUUUGAUUCUACUACGGGUGACUGCGUUCAUGUCGAUUUCAGUUGUUUAUUUGACAAAGGUCUGCAGCUUGAGAAGCCUGAACUGGUGCCUUUUAGGCUAACCCAGAACAUGAUCGAUGGACUAGGAAUCACCGGUUAUGAGGGCAUUUUCUUGAGAGUUUGUGAAAUUACACUUUCUGUAUUAAGAUCUCAUCGGGACACUCUGAUGAGCAUACUCGAAACUUUCAUUCAUGAUCCGCUUGUGGAGUGGACAAAAUCUCACAAAUCCAGUGGUGUUGAAGUUCAGAAUCCACAUGCUCAGUUAGCCAUCAGUAACAUUGAGGCUAGGUUACGAGGUGUAGUUGUUGGCGUUGGAGCUGCACCAUCUUUGCCCCUGGCUGUCGAAGGUCAGGCUCGUCGGUUAAUUGCUGAAGCAGUUGCACACAAAAAUCUUGGGAAGAUGUACAUAUGGUGGAUGCCAUGGUUCUAGAUAAAAUGAGGAAUCCCAAAAAAUUCAGAGGUUCUUUUCCCUUCACAAAGAUCAAAGGAAGGCUUUUCCAGCAUUCUUCCCCAGUCGCCCUAGCCUCUUCUGCCAUCAACUUGAAAAAGUUUCUUGGAGGACAGAUUCUUCGCAAAGGGCUUUUUUCUAUAAAUGUAAAGCAAGCCCUCGAGUCCAUGAUAUCUCCAAGCAAGCUCUGCUGUUAUUACCUUCGAAACUCCAAGGUCCAAUGUAACUUCUUUUAUACGCUUUGGCUCACUCGUUUAAUGAGUUGCAUGCGGUGCCUUUUUGAGUUUGUUGCGCUUGAUUUUGAUUGUAUAUUUCAAUCUUCAUUUUGCAUGGUAUUGCAUUUAUUUUCUGUAUAUCGAUGUAAAUGAAGCCUACCUAACUCACCACUAGCAUGGUUUUUGAUAGUAUUGUCGAUCAUAUCACAGGGAAAAAGCCCUUGAGGGAUGGUUUUGUGCUAAAUCUUUGAAAUGUUUUGAGAGACGUUCCUUGAAAUAAUUGGGUUUGAAUCUCUUCGAGAACACCCAAAGGUUAAAUUAUAAAAUUAGUUUAUAAA